UUACACAGUUUCUAUUAUGAAGCAGCAAAAUCAGGAAAUGUUGGGUCUUCAUCAGCAGUAACUUAACAUGACUCAUCACACA